GGCUGAAAGAGAUGGGUCCCAGAGCAGGGAGAGCUCAGCUGCAGUGUGCACGGCCCAAAGAAGUGACUGCCCAACACUCGCAACGUUUCAUAUUUCUCCUCUGCGCCUCGGUUGUGCCGUUUGAAAGGCCGAGGCUCGACUCUGAGCUUGCCAUCUUUCUGCCCAUAGAGUCCUGCUUCUGGGCCUGCUGACAGUCGGCUAUUGAAGGUGGGACCAGCAGAGGAACUGAAAGGCAGAAGCAGCAGCAGCCUUGAGACCAGUGAGAGCUCGGUUGGAGUGACAGCUCCUUCUGUUGAUGACUGAACCUCCAGUACUUCAGAUGGACCAACAGUCGGGGACAAUGACCCGCUUUUCUCAAUCAUAAGGUUUACGAAGGAAGAAGGAGGUGGAGAUGGACGGAGAGGACGUCUUGGAGCCAGCGAUCCACCUGCAGUAGCUUACGACUCUGACUGCACAGCAGGAGGAGACGGUGACGGUGCUGAACUUCACACCUAACAUUCAGAUUGAAAACAAAACAGGUUUGCCGACGUUGUUGGUGAAUAUGCCCCCAUUUGUGAUUUAAAGUCAUGCAUUUAUGCACAUCAGUGCAUCAGUUCUUCACAGGAAGUGAACUGGUGGGGUCACUCUGGGAGCCACGCAGGCCCCACACAAUGCCAUGGCAGCAGCAUGGCUUUCACUGGGCCUCGCGCUGCUGCCUUUACGAGAGCCAGACAAACGGAUCCCCUUCACGCCGCAAAGCCAUCAACAAGGGGAACAAAGAGGGCAGGUGCUGAGGACUGCAUUGAGUGCUCACCUGCACCCAGCAGGGGAAUAUAGUGCGUCCAGCCAUGCCAAGAGGCCCUCCACAUUCACAUCCCCACUCACCAGGCACUAAUGGGCUAAGAUGGCAAGCCAAAGAGAAAUUAUUUCUCUUUAUUAUAGGCUGAAGCAAAUCAGCAGCUGAUGGUGUUGAAUAUUACAGUGCAUGUACCGUAUGCACUGUUCAGUCCAAACAAACUUGGCUUCUGCAAUAUCUAAAGCAGGCCGUGACAGAAUGCUGCUAACUGGGCAUCAACGUUUAAUCGGUAACAGAAGUGAGUAUGAGGGAGCUGACUCUUGGAUCUGCUUUUCAGAUUUUUUUGUACUGACUUGAAUUUUAAAUAGAAAGAUGUGUUGCUGGCUUGCUGAAGUCCUUACACCCCUGCAGUAUUUUACAUUUGAUCACAUUGCGACCUCAAAGAAUAUAUUUGAUUGGAAUCUUGUGUCCAGGCCAAAACAAGGAAGCAGAAAGUUGGAAAGUGGAUGGAAAAUAUUUUUUCUAUUGCAUACAUUUAUUUCAAAGACUGCCUUUUUUUUCUUGUAUUCUGUUACUGUAUUUUAGUGUUACUCUCUAGUCUUUAUUUCAGUAGCUCUUCUUUUGUCCUUUGUUUCCAUUAACCAAAUAAAUGUGAAA